rnacentral:rRNA from 1 species
UACGUAGGUGGCAAGCGUUGUCCGGAUUUACUGGGCGUAAAGCGCGCGCAGGCGGAUGGUUAAGUAGGAAGUGAAAGGUUGGAGCUCAACUCCAACAUUGCUUCCUAUACUGGCUAUCUUGAGUCCCGGAGGGGAGAGCGGAACAAGUUGUGUAGCGGUGAAAUGCGUUGAUAUAACUUGGAACACCAAUGGCGAAGGCAGCUCUCUGGACGGGAACUGACGCUCAGGCGCGAAAGCCGAGGUAGCGAACAGG